rfam:Phlebia centrifuga strain FBCC195 PHLCENscaffold_1690, whole genome shotgun sequence.
GGCAAGAUGGCCGAGCGGUCUAAGGCGUGUGACUCAAGUUUAAGCAAGCUUGCCGGAGAACUCUGGUUUUCACAUAUCGAAAGGUGCGUGGGUUCGAAUCCCACUCUUGUCA